CUCAGAGGAGAUCCUACUUCCUCCUGAACCCAACCUGUGUUUUCCUCUCACAGUUUUCCAAAGACACAGAGACACCCAUAGACUCACAAACCACUUCACCCUGUCAACAAAUGUCCCCUGAUAUUGUCUUGCCAUAUCAAAUACUAUGCUAAAUUCUUCUAAUGUGUUAUAUACAACAAGCUUCACUUCAAUGAAUGAAUUUUUCUUUGAAUUUCCUGACCAUUAAAAUUUUCAGAUAUUGGGAAUUGGAUCUGAAUUCACUGCCUUGACUAUGAAUAUAAAUUUUAUGCUAUGUCCUUCCUUGAAGGUCAGAAGAAGCUCCUUCAACCUGAGAGCAAAGUAGCACCUUAAAUUCCAGGACAUGAAACAGGCCCUUUUGAGCUACAUCAAAGGCUAUCCAAGGAGAAUACGGUCUGAAAUAACCACAGGUACAGUUUUAGAAUGCAGGUCUGAGGAACAGAGUGCAAAACAAGGGCAGGACAGCAGGCACACCCAGGAGAUUCUUGGUUAUGUCUUUGGCAGUUUAGCCUCUCUGCAUGUCAGUUUUUUCUACCUAGAGAAAGAUGGGUUGGGAUGCACCAUGGAGAUGGGUGCUGUCUCAAGGCAUGUCUUAUAAAAUCACUUCCUUCAUAAGUGGGACUUUGUUUGUUUGUUUGUUUGCAUGUUUUUUGGUGGGAGUGAUGAGCUAACAUUUAUAUGAGCUAAGCUGCACAUCUCUUUCAAGUGAACAUCUCUUUCUGGGAACAGAGGAAUCAGAUGCUGAACUUACCAAAAAUGCUGAAAAUGAUGCUUUAGAGCAGAGAAUCACUUCACUUGGUUGAAAAAAAUUAACACUUCUCUUCAUGACUGUUACCAAAUAUUGUGCAUCGAUCCUGUCCUUUUACCAUUUGGAAAGACUCACCAGCUAGCUAUUCUUUAUUUAUUAGCCACUUUCAGAUCCUAAAAGCAAAGAAGAUGGAGAGGGAAGUUAGAAGUCAUCAUGUUUGAUCCUAAAUAUAGAGUUGUGUUUGCCUGUUCCAAUCUCAGAAUUCUAAUCCUUAUCUGGCUAAUCUAACAACAAAUAAAUGCCAACUGUGCC